CUCAUCCGCACACAGGCAGUGCAAAAUGUUGGACUGGCUCGUGUCCCAUCUAAGGGAAAUAUUGCUCCAUUUCCGUGCUGUGGGUACAGAGCCAACGCUACAAGAAAUGACCUUAUUUACCACUCUUCUGAGCUUUACGUUUGUCAUUGCUGCCCAUGCUUCCUUCCUCUGAGAAACUCAGGAGACUGUUGUUGUUAUUUGCCUCCAAGCAAACAAGCAGCUGGAAAUGGCACAGGAUGGAUGCAGACAACCCAAAGCCCUGAGCGCCUUUGUGUCAAGCCAAGUUCAAGGUCCUUCCAGACAGUGGGAAGCAUCCCCUGGAACCAACGCAAAC
ensembl:lncRNA